rnacentral:rRNA from 1 species
UACGAAGGGACCUAGCGUAAUUCGGAAUUACUGGGCGUAAAGCGCGCGUAGGCGGUUAAGUAAGUUAAUUGUGAAAGCCCAAAGCUCAACUUUGGAAUUGCAAUUAAAACUACUUAGCUAGAGUUUAUCAGAGGAAAGCGGAAUACAUAGUGUAGAGGUGAAAUUCGUAGAUAUUAUGUAGAACACCAGUUGCGAAGGCGGCUUUCUGGGAUAACACUGACGCUGAGGUGCGAAAGUAUGGGUAGCGAAGAGG